CUAUCGUACAUCUAUAAAACUGAAAAUGAUUUCAAAGUGAUAUUUUGCCAUUAAGCAGAUACGGAUUACAUCAAACGGAGAGAGAAACAUGUUUGACGUAUUUGAAAAAUAUAAAAGUGUAUUGUAUUUCACAUUCUUAACCAAUAAUUUAGCAGCGGUAAUAUUAAACACGGUUAUUUGUAUAUUAUUUAGAUAAAAUACGGAAUUCGAUGUUAUAGAUGUGAUUAACAUACUAUAAACUUGUUUGACAAGUAUUUCCAUAGGAGUUAUAUAUUGUUAAGCGUGAUUAAUAGUAAUGAUUUAAUAAUCGCUUCUAGUGGAGUAUUACAUUCCAAGCCUUGUUGGAAAUUAAUUAAUGGUGACGGCAAUCAGAAAACAGAGGUUACCUACUUAAUAGGCGGGGAUUCAAAUUAGACGAAAGUUAUUAUUAGAAAUAACGUAAAAUAUGUUGGUAAGUUAUUAAGUAAUUUAUCAAAAUGUGACAGAUAAUUAAAGAAAUAUCGUUACGAAGGAGAAAGAUCGUUACAUUGUACGAAGAAGUAAUUAUGUAAUUCAGUUUUAUGUAACGAUACACGUUUUUAAUGCUUCUAUGCGCGUCAAGCUUUCAUAAAGUACUCAUUUCAGUCACGAUUACUAUAAGAUUGCACGCGUGUAGCCAUUUAAUCAGUAUAUCCGAUUGCGAAUGCCAUUACAUAUACAUUUUAGAUAUCAGCGAACUAGUUGAUCAUAGGUAUAUUUAUCAACAUCCAAUCUUACGACGUGAUUUGUGAACCGCGUUAAUACAUUUUCAGAGCUACAUAAAGUCAGAGAUGUCUUCAUUUUUAUGUCUAUUUGUUCCAUACGUGACAUUUCUUGAACAUGAAGUAUGAGAUGCUUACAUAUGCACUAGAAUUUUAUUGUCUUCGAGUUGACAGUUUGGUUUCACAUGGAAGGUGUUAAUUACAUUAUUCUCGCUUAUCCACUUAGUCACUCCGACCAAAUGGAAUCUCAACAGGUUCUGAGAGAAACGUUAGGGAAAGCAUUUGUCCUAUAAAGGCUAAUACGAUAAUCAGUCGGGACUUUUUUUUAUCUAUAAAGAAAUCAAUAUAUGAGUAAUGCGGAAGAUAAUGAUCACUUACAACACUAAUGCUCUUGUCUGCUACUAGGUAGAUUAUUAGAUAGAAAGGUGAGAGGUCCCGAUAAUAAUUUAGCGAAUGGCCGAGCAACGACGCAGUCUCGGUGCAAGCGCGUCGUUUUACCUUGUCCAAUUGCAUACUUUAUGAGUUGCCCUGUAUGGUCAUGGACAUGGGACACCAUACUACACCGCUAUACUUUGCUUUGACAACGGCGAAAUGUUUAUUUAAUACAUGGAAAUCCCCGAUUCCUCGGUUCACUAGCAACACACGACUGUUUCAGUCUCUUUGGCCCGACCCACAAAUCCUUUCAUUUUUUUCAUGCUUUUCUCAAUGCUUGUACAUUCUUGACCACGUGAACAUUUUUCCUUUCGAAUAGAACACGUAUGAAGCAUAUUUGCUCUUGAUGUUUGUGCGCAAUUACUGUCAUUGCAUAUGGUUAGGUUUACAUAGCAUUUGCGUAGAACGACCUAAAUAAACAUUUAUACGAUUUUUAAAUUGUACGUUUCGAAAUACGAGACGCAUGCAGCAAUAUAAUGAACAUAAAGAUAUUAAUUUUAAAUAAGAUAUUAAAUUUUCAUUUAGAUGUUUUCGAAAUGAAGUAUUCAAAAUCGCUGAAGCUUUUAUGACAAACCAAAAUUUAUAGUUUCACUAUAAUCGAUUGAAUUCUUAUAUAUCGUGGUUUAACGAUGCGAGGACCAAGGGUAUAACAAUGUUAUAACGCGUGUCUUGUACUAGUUAAGUAUGUAUACGAGUACUCUGAAGAGUAUAAAAUUUGACCUAAAUACUUUCUAGGAGUAAAAAUAAAGCGGACAAUCCAGAAGCUGACAAGAAGUAUACUUUAAAUGCUUUUCAACGCAUUUAUAUGCAUACACGUUGUAGGUAUAUGUGAAUAUUCCGUGGUAAUUUACAAGGUUAGAUAUAUUGUACAACACUCAAGCUUAUGAUCAACGGAAUCACUGCACAUUAUAAACGUGUUUAAUUAUCAUUUAACGUCUUAACGUUUUGACGUGAUACGAUGAGGAUAAUGAAUGCUAAUCACGGCGUGGCGAGGAUAUUAAUUAAUCGUUAUAACGGUGUACAUACAGGUCGGUCGAGAUAAUGUUACAAUAAUUUACGAUGUUGUGUUCAAACCGAUAUCACAGGAGCUGGAGCACAUGAUUGGAAUAAAGUGGAUCACCUUCGUGCGGCUGACCUAACUUGUUCCUGGCGUCAAAUUAUCCUGUUGUCGGAUUGGUAUUGAGUCCUCGGCUGUAGAACUCUUUGAUCUUCCGCAGCUUAUCGAACCGUGUCGAAAGGAAAUACGCGAGGAAAUGUAGGCAUUAAAUCGAAACACGAAUCGUUUAUACAAUUACGGAACAAUGGGAGCAGCCUACACACACAUUAAUAACUUAAUCUGUGAAGUAUAUACGUCAUUCCGAUGGAUCGUAUACGUAGAGCUGCUUAUCAACCUAUUUUCAUUUUCUAUUAAGCAACGCGAAGGUAACUUGCUGUUUAUUCAUGUACAUGGAUAUGUACAUACAUUUAUUCAUGUGUACAUGGACGCUCUUUGAAAGAAAAAAAUCUUUAAAUUAACCUCGGGCUUAUUCUUGUCGUACUUUUUCCAUGAUCUUAGAAUAUUCACCGCAGGCUAAGAUCGCAGAACUAUAGCAAUGAUAUUGUUCGUGCAAGUGAACAAAGCCGUCGUGAAACACAUGCAAAAACAUGCGAGUCGUUACACGUAGACAGUCCAGUGGCCCGGUUGAUCGGCGGACUAGAGUGAGAAUACAUGAUUCCCGUAAUCAAAACUAAAAAUCGUUGCGAAGGAACGCUUUAUCGAUGCAAGAAGGUACGAUUGUGUUAGGCGAGGCUACCGCGUUAAACGUGCAAGUGGGUUAAUGGCGAAGUCCACACGAGAGAGAAGAGACCGAUAUACUAUAUGUACAUGCGUACAUUUUACAGUCUGACAGAUACUCUGACAGUUGAUGUUGAUGAACGAUCCCUCCCGGCCUUCGGGCAGCUAGCAUCGAUGGAGAGGUUCAACUGCAGCUGCACUUGCACCACUGGAGAGCGAACGGCCCCGCUAUACAUUUCGCCUCUCUUCCCUUGGGCCACUGCCACACUUUCGUGUGUAACAACCGGUGUAUUUGCUUUUUAGUUCUCCUUCGAACAUUAGAUGUUCGAAACUGGAGCACCGAGAGUUUUCGUCGAAUCUAAGAAAGUAUAUAAAUCGAGACGAAUAAAAUUGUCUUACUAGACGUUAUUAUAUGCGUUGUAGGUAGAAGUUAUGUUACGGUAGUAUUAUGAUUCGAUCGUUU